AUUUUUUUCAGAGAUACCUAAAUUAAGUUAUCCUGUUGACUGAACAUUAUGUUCCCUAACAUAUUAUGCUGUCUAUAAAAAUAAAGGUGUAAAAGAACUCUGAGAUACAUAUUUAUAGCCCAGCAAAGGAGGAGAAAGGAAGACAUGAAAAGGUAACAGGAGACGAAACCAACAGGCACUUGUAAGAGAUGAAAGAAGGUUACGUCAAAAAGGAAGAGAACCUAAUUGAUGUCAAAAUAGGCCAUACUGUACGAUCGUUGACAGCCUCGUUUUCAUUGUUAUCAGGUGUUUAGCAGAAUAAUUUUGUGGUUUAUUGUCCCUAACCUUUGUACUGAGAGAGGAAUUCCAGUCUUGUUUGUGUUUUAAUGUCAUAUUAAAAAACAGAAAUGAUGAAGAACAGAUGUGCACCAGUAUCAAGGUUAAGAUGCUGAACCUCUUAGUUUCCAUGGCGAUAUAGAUUUCCGUGAUGGAAGGAUGGGUAACAGCAAGCCUGACGUCCAUAGAUUGUAACGUAUUGUUGCCGAUUCUGAUUGACACUGCUGGAUUUUUUACGACUGGGUUGAGCACUUAAUUGAAAAAGUGUCAUCUUAAAGAUUAUUGCAUAUGAAUUGUAUUUAAAACAGUAAAUACAAUACUCCUACAUAGAAUUGUUUAGUGGAAUUUCAAAUAUCUCAAACUGAUUUGUAUUGGAUAUAUUGAGUAUUUCUGACUCAGUACACUUCCGACUAAUUGUGAAAAUUUUAAUUGGAAACUAACCAUACUAGAUUUUCUCAUGGUUUGAAUCAGCCACAAAAUUUUUCUGGAAGAUCUACUGCU